UACGGAGGGUGCAAACGUUGCUCGGAAUCAUUGGGCGUAAAGCGCACGUAGGCGGUCGGCUAUGUCGGAUGUGAAAGCCUCGGGCUUAACCCGAGAAGUGCAUCCGAAACUGGCCGGCUUGAGUACGGAAGAGGGUCUCGGAAUUCCCGGUGUAGAGGUGAAAUUCGUAGAUAUCGGGAGGAACACCAGUGGCGAAGGCGGAGACCUGGGCCGAUACUGACGCUGAGGUGCGAAAGCGUGGGGAGCAAACAGG
rnacentral:rRNA from 1 species